CAGCAGUCGCCGCGGUAAUACGUAGGUGGCAAGCGUUGUCCGGAAUUAUUGGGCGUAAAGGGCUCGCAGGCGGUUUCUUAAGUCUGAUGUGAAAGCCCCCGGCUCAACCGGGGAGGGUCAUUGGAAACUGGGAAACUUGAGUGCAGAAGAGGAGAGUGGAAUUCCACGUGUAGCGGUGAAAUGCGUAGAGAUGUGGAGGAACACCGGUGGCGAAAGCGGCUCUCUGGCUUGUAGCUGGCGCUGAGGCUCGAAAGCGUGGGGAGCAAUCAGGAUUAGAUACCCGUGUAGUCCCUGUCUCUUAUAA
rnacentral:rRNA from 1 species